rnacentral:lncRNA from 1 species
UUCAUGCGAUCAAGGUUUAUGCUCUAUAACAGGUUGUUUAUGUUAUUAUGAAAAAUUUCAUUUCGAGUCCAAAAGAAGAUGUAGGAAAGGAUGCUAAUAGCAACAUAAAUAAUGGGUAAUGGUAUAAAAUUAAAGUACAAAACAACAAACAUAAAUAGAAUAUGUAUACAGAUGAACAAACUUGUAUACCUGAUCACAUUUUGCCCCCUCAUUCUUCAUUCUGUUCGUAUGGUGGUAAUCUCAAUUCUGUGCAACAAAAGAAGUUGAAUAGAGCCCUUUAAUAGCAUCUAAAUACUUGUUCAUCGCCAGAACUA